GAUGAACGCUGGCGGCGUGCUUAACACAUGCAAGUCGAACGAUGAAGCCCAGCUUGCUGGGUGGAUUAGUGGCGAACGGGUGAGUAACACGUGAGUAACCUGCCCUUAACUCUGGGAUAAGCCUGGGAAACUGGGUCUAAUACCGGAUAGGAGCGUCCACCGCAUGGUGGGUGUUGGAAAGAUUUAUCGGUUUUGGAUGGACUCGCGGCCUAUCAGCUUGUUGGUGAGGUAAUGGCUCACCAAGGCGACGACGGGUAGCCGGCCUGAGAGGGUGACCGGCCACACUGGGACUGAGACACGGCCCAGACUCCUACGGGAGGCAGCAGUGGGGAAUAUUGCACAAUGGGCGCAUGCCUGAUGCAGCGACGCCGCGUGAGGGAUGACGGCCUUCGGGUUGUAAACCUCUUUCAGUAGGGAAGAAGCGAAAGUGACGGUACCUGCAGAAGAAGCACCGGCUAACUACGUG
rnacentral:rRNA from 1 species